GGUGCAUUAGGUUCUGACUCAAAGGAACCUGAAAAACCACACGUUAACGUCACAGAACCACCUCCUGAACAUGAAAAUCCUGAGAAACCUAAAAGUGGGAGCAAAGAAUCAUCUCAUGAACACAAAUCUCCUGAGAAACCUGAAAGUGGGAGCAAAGAAGAAGCUCCUGAACACAAAUCUCCUGAGAAACCUGAAAGUGGGAGCAAAGAAGAAGCUCCUGAACACGGACAUUAUGGGAGACCUGAAAGUAAGAGCAAAGAAUAUGUUGGUCUUCUUGGAAGCAUAAAGUUGUUCAGGAAUCUUGGUGAUGUAAAAUAUGUAAAACUAGGAGAGGUGGGAGGCAAAUCGGUGUAUUUAAAGGCACCUG